AUUGAACGCUGGCGGCAUGCUUUACACAUGCAAGUCGAACGGUAACAGGCCGCAAGGUGCUGACGAGUGGCGAACGGGUGAGUAAUGCAUCGGAACGUGCCCAGUCGUGGGGGAUAACGCAGCGAAAGCUGCGCUAAUACCGCAUACGAUCUAUGGAUGAAAGCGGGGGACCGUAAGGCCUCGCGCGAUUGGAGCGGCCGAUGUCAGAUUAGGUAGUUGGUGGGGUAAAGGCUCACCAAGCCAACGAUCUGUAGCUGGUCUGAGAGGACGACCAGCCACACUGGGACUGAGACACGGCCCAGACUCCGACGGGAGGCAGCAGUGGGGAAUUUUGGACAAUGGGCGCAAGCCUGAUCCAGCAAUGCCGCGUGCAGGAAGAAGGCCUUCGGGUUGUAAACUGCUUUUGUACGGAGCGAAAAGGCUCCCUCUAAUACAGGGGGCUCAUGACGGUACCGUAAGAAUAAGCACCGGCUAACUUCGUGCCAGCCGCCGCGGUAACAC
rnacentral:rRNA from 1 species